GCCAAUCAGGUACAAUACUGGCCCUGUCACUAUGAGAAUAUGAUACCGUUCGGCGUUGCAAAGAGUCCAGACCAGUGGCCGCAACAUGAGGAUUCUCGGCAUCAUCAACGAUUUAAAUCGCUCGACGGCAUCGUCAACCCAAGUUAUUUCGCUACCACCGAUCAAAAUAGACGCUCUUCUACUGGAACUACAUUGCCUCGGAAUGUAGGAAAUGACGAUGUAAGUAAGAGCUCUUCGUCAAGCACAUACGUUUAAAAAAUUGGAAAAAAAGAAGGAGAACCUGCCAUAGAAGAAGAU